UUCAGCCAAUCCGCAGGGAAUGCGGAUAUGACGUACAGACGCUAAAGAUGGCGUCAGAUUCAAACGGCUCCUGGAUAAAUAUCGCUGGUCAUUGAAGUCUUACGGCAGCGGAGCUAUGCAGACCGAACCAGCGGAGCGGAGGAGACAGCCUCGCCGGAGCAAGCGCGCUGAGGGCGGGCCCGGCCGAGCAGAGCCGCGGGGGCCACAACCGACAUCCGCGGGCAGCUCCGAGGAGGAGAUGACAAGGUUGAAAAAGAUCGUCGCCGCCACGCGACAGAAAGACAAGCAGCAGGCGCCAAGGGGGGGAGGAGAGGAGAGAGAAGAGGAGGGAG